rnacentral:rRNA from 1 species
UUAAGUGAAUAAGGGCGCACGGUGGAUGCCUUGGCACUAGGAGCCGAUGAAGGACGGGACUAACACCGAUAUGCUUUGGGGAGCUGUACGUAAGCUAUGAUCCAGAGAUUUCCGAAUGGGGAAACCCAACAUCUUUUAUAGGAUGUUACGUUUGCGUGAAUACAUAGCGCAUUCGAGGUAGACGCAGAGAACUGAAACAUCUAAGUACCUGCAGGAAGAGAAAGAAAAUUCGAUUCCCUGAGUAGCGGCGAGCGAAACGGGAAAAGCCCAAACCAAUGAGCUUGCUCAUUGGGGUUGUAGGACUCCAAUAUGGUAGUUCUUUCAGAUAAUCGAAUGACUUGGAAAAGUCAGUCAAAGAGGGUAAAAACCCCGUAGAUGAAAUUUGGAAGGCACCUAGGAGGAUCCUGAGUACGGCGGAACACGAGGAAUUCCGUCGGAAUCCGGGAGGACCAUCUCCCAAGGCUAAAUACUCCCUAGUGACCGAUAGUGAACCAGUACCGUGAGGGAAAGGUGAAAAGCACCCCGGAAGGGGAGUGAAAUAGAACCUGAAACCGUGUGCCUACAACAAGUCAAAGCCCGUUAAUGGGUGAUGGCGUGCCUUUUGUAGAAUGAACCGGCGAGUUACGAUUGCAUGCGAGGUUAAGUCGAAGAGACGGAGCCGCAGCGAAAGCGAGUCUGAAUAGGGCAUUUGAGUAUGUAGUCGUAGACCCGAAACCAUGUGAUCUACCCAUGUCCAGGUUGAAGGUGCGGUAAAACGCACUGGAGGACCGAACCCACGUACGUUGAAAAGUGCGGGGAUGAGGUGUGGGUAGCGGAGAAAUUCCAAACGAACUUGGAGAUAGCUGGUUCUCUCCGAAAUAGCUUUAGGGCUAGCCUCGGAUUUGAGAAUGAUGGAGGUAGAGCACUGUUUGGACUAGGGGCCCAUCUCGGGUUACCGAAUUCAGAUAAACUCCGAAUGCCAUUCAUUCAUAUCCGGGAGUCAGACUGUGAGUGAUAAGAUCCAUAGUCGAAAGGGAAACAGCCCAGACCACCAGCUAAGGUCCCAAAAUAUAUGUUAAGUGGAAAAGGAUGUGGGGUUGCACAGACAACUAGGAUGUUGGCUCAGAAGCAGCCACCAUUUAAAGAGUGCGUAAUAGCUCACUAGUCGAGUGACCCUGCGCCGAAAAUGUACCGGGGCUAAACAUAUUACCGAAGCUGUGGAGUACACCAUGAGGUGUAUUGGUAGGAGAGCGUUCUAAGGGCGUUGAAGGCAGAUCGUGAGGACUGCUGGAGCGCUUAGAAGUGAGAAUGCCGGUAUGAGUAGCGAAAGACAGGUGAGAAUCCUGUCCACCGAAUGACUAAGGUUUCCUGGGGAAGGCUCGUCCGCCCAGGGUUAGUCGGGACCUAAGCCGAGGCCGACAGGCGUAGGCGAUGGACAACAGGUUGAUAUUCCUGUACUCGUUGUUUUUGUUUGAGCAAUGGAGGGACGCAGGAGGCUAAGGAAUGCAGACGAUUGGAAAUGUCUGUCCAAGCAGUAAGUCUUGAUAGGAGUCAAAUGCUUCUGUCUACACGGAUAAGCUGUGAUGGGGAGGGAAAUAAUAGUACCGAAGUUCCUGAUGUCACACUGCCAAGAAAAGCUUCUAGUGAGAAAACAAUGACCCGUACCGCAAACCGACACAGGUAGUCGAGGAGAGAAUCCUAAGGUGAGCGAGAGAACUCUCGUUAAGGAACUCGGCAAAAUGACCCCGUAACUUCGGGAGAAGGGGUGCUGAUCUUUGAUCAGCCGCAGUGAAUAGGCCCAAGCGACUGUUUAUCAAAAACACAGGUCUCUGCAAAAUCGUAAGAUGAAGUAUAGGGGCUGACGCCUGCCCGGUGCUGGAAGGUUAAGAGGAGUGCUUAGCGUAAGCGAAGGUACGAAUUGAAGCCCCAGUAAACGGCGGCCGUAACUAUAACGGUCCUAAGGUAGCGAAAUUCCUUGUCGGGUAAGUUCCGACCCGCACGAAAGGCGUAACGAUUUGGGCACUGUCUCAACGAGAGACUCGGUGAAAUUUUAGUACCUGUGAAGAUGCAGGUUACCCGCGACAGGACGGAAAGACCCCAUGGAGCUUUACUGUAGUUUGAUAUUGAGUGUCUGUACCGCAUGUACAGGAUAGGUAGGAGCCGUAGAAAUCGGAACGCUAGUUUCGAUGGAGGCGCUGGUGGGAUACUACCCCUGCGUUAUGGCCACUCUAACCCGCACCACUGAUCGUGGUGGGAGACAGUGUCAGAUGGGCAGUUUGACUGGGGCGGUCGCCUCCUAAAAGGUAACGGAGGCGCCCAAAGGUUCCCUCAGAAUGGUUGGAAAUCAUUCGAAGAGUGUAAAGGCAGAAGGGAGCUUGACUGCGAGACCAACAAGUCGAGCAGGGACGAAAGUCGGGCUUAGUGAUCCGGUGGUUCCGCAUGGAAGGGCCAUCGCUCAACGGAUAAAAGCUACCCUGGGGAUAACAGGCUUAUCUCCCCCAAGAGUCCACAUCGACGGGGAGGUUUGGCACCUCGAUGUCGGCUCGUCGCAUCCUGGGGCUGUAGUCGGUCCCAAGGGUUGGGCUGUUCGCCCAUUAAAGCGGCACGCGAGCUGGGUUCAGAACGUCGUGAGACAGUUCGGUCCCUAUCCGUCGCGGGCGUUGGAAAUUUGAGAGGAGCUGUCCUUAGUACGAGAGGACCGGGAUGGACUUACCGCUGGUGUACCAGUUGUUCUGCCAAGGGCAUUGCUGGGUAGCUAUGUAGGGAAGGGAUAAACGCUGAAAGCAUCUAAGUGUGAAGCCCACCUCAAGAUGAGAUUUCCCAUUUCUUUAAGAAAGUAAGAUCCCUGAGAGAUGAUCAGGUAGAUAGGUCAGGAGUGGAAGGCCAGUGAUGGUUGGAGCGGACUGAUACUAAUCGAUCGAGGACUUAACCAA